rnacentral:rRNA from 1 species
CCUUUAGGGCAAGAAGACAGGUGGGGCAUGGGUGUCGUCAGCUCGUGUCGUGAGAUGUUGGGUUAAAUCCCGCAACCAGCGCAACCCUUAUCUUUUUUUGCUACCAUUAAAUUGAGCACUCUAUUGAGACUGCCCCGGUUAACGUGGAGGAAGGUGGGGAUGACGUCAAAUCAUCAUGCCCCUUAUGUCUAGGGCUACACACGUGCUACAAUGGUGAGUACAAAAAGAUGCAAUACCGCGAGGUGGAGCCAAACUCAAAAACUCAUCCCAGUUCGGAUUGUAGGCUGAAACUCCCCUACCUGAAGCCGGAGUUGCUAGUAAUCGCGAAUCAACAUGUCGCGGUGAAUACCUUCCCGGGCCUUG